GAUGAACGCUGGCGGCGUGCCUAAUACAUGCAAGUCGAGCGAACAGACGAGGAGCUUGCUCCUCUGACGUUAGCGGCGGACGGGUGAGUAACACGUGGAUAACCUACCUAUAAGACUGGGAUAACUUCGGGAAACCGGAGCUAAUACCGGAUAAUAUAUUGAACCGCAUGGUUCAAUAGUGAAAGACGGUUUUGCUGUCACUUAUAGAUGUAUCCGCGCCGCAUUAGCUAGUUGGUAAGGUAACGGCUUACCAAGGCGACGAUGCGUAGCCGACCCGAGAGGGUGAUCGGCCACACUGGAACUGAGACACGGUCCAGACUCCUACGGGAGGCAGCAGUAGGGAAUCUUCCGCAAUGGGCGAAAGCCUGACGGAGCAACGCCGCGUGAGUGAUGAAGGUCUUCGGAUCGUAAAACUCUGUUAUUAGGGAAGAACAAAUGUGUAAGUAACUAUGCACGUCUUGACGGUACCUAAUCAGAAAGCCACGGCUAACUACGUG
rnacentral:rRNA from 1 species